rnacentral:rRNA from 1 species
CAGCUCCACAAGUGGCAAUCACUAUUAUUGGGCCUAAAGCGUCCGUAGCCGGCCUAGUAAAUCUCUUGUGAAAUCGUUGCGCAUAACGUAACGGCGUGCAGGAGACACUGCUAGACUUGGAACCGGGAGGAGUCAGAGGUAUGCAAGGGGUAGCGGUAAAAUGUUAUAAUCCUUUGUAGACCACCUGUGGCGAAGGCGUCUGACCAGAACGGAUUCGACGGUGAGGGACGAAAGCUAGGGGAGCGAUCCGGAUUAGAUACCCGUGUAGUCC